UUAACUCUAAUUUGUAUGGAGUUAGAACGUUUGCCUGCGUUUGCCGCUAGGGGCGCUGUUCCAACUCCAUACAAAUUUAAGUUA
rnacentral:pre_miRNA from 1 species